rnacentral:tRNA from 1 species
AACAAAGUGGCGCAGCAGAAGCGUGCUAGGCACAUAACCCAGAGGUCGAUGGAUCGAAACCAUCCUCUGCUA